rnacentral:rRNA from 1 species
AUGCUAAGCAGAUCGUCGGUGUCUGCCUUGUUGAUUUGUUUCUUGACAUGGUACGUACGUACAUUUGCCAGAAAGCUGGUGCGGAACUCUCUCCCGGUCUCCCCAAAGGCCAGCCUACGGGAGAGCUAUGAGACAGUACUCCGAAAAUCUCAAAUUGUAAUUGCAAGUGUGAAUUACCUCUGCUCUGUUUCUGUGUGUUGUACUCCUCCAAAGAUCAAAGUUGGUUUCUGCUCCCUGGAAACAAACCCAAGAAACUUUUGCUUUCAUCCCAUAAACAAACCAGCAUCUCCAUGCGGACUCUCAAACCACUCGCAUCCGUUCGGACCGUGCGGUCUGAAUGUGUCUUGCCGUCUCUCAAACCACUCGCAUCCGUUCGGACCGUGCGGUCUGAAUGUGUCUUGCCGUCCAACGCCGUCAUUUUGA